GUGAGGAGCUCAGCUUCCUGGGGUGGCAAGAGCCACUGACGUAAGCAGAAACUCUGUUCUGGGCUGAAGCAGUUGAGAGCCUUGCAAGAGAGCCUGGUGCCCAGACUGGAGCUGGGAGAGGGAUUUGGCCUCUGCUGUGACAACUCUGAGGACUCAGGCUCAGGGGAACCCAGGGAAUGUGAGGCUGCUGGGUCAGUGCUUCUUCUACAAAAGGGAGAACUUCCUUGUCAGCAACUGAGAAGAUCCUGAAGAGUUCCAAGGUGCAUGAGGAGAUUUGGAGGAUUUGGGAUUUCCAAGUGGUCUGAUGAAUCAGAACAGACUGACACUUCCUGCCACCUCUCCUCCUGGUGCCAGCUUGAAGACAGCAAAACAGGAAGGAUGGGACUGCAUGGGCUGGAGCUGGAAUUGGACAAUUAACUCCAAUAUGCAAAUGGAGCAGAACUGAUAAAAGUGAGAGACCCCAUGACCUGCUGUCCAUUUUGGGACCAUUUUGGUCCAUCUUGGGUGCAGCCCUGGCUGGG
rnacentral:lncRNA from 1 species